GUAGGGAAUAUUGGACAAUGGGGGGAACCCUGAUCCAGCCAUGCCGCGUGGAGGAAGACUGCCCUCUGGGUUGUAAACUCCUUUUAUAUGGGAAGAACCGUCCUCAUUAAUGAGUGACCUGACGGUACCAUAGGAAUAAGCACCGGCUAACUCCGUGCCAGCAGCCGCGGUAAUACGGAGGGUGCAAGCGUUAUCCGGAUUCACUGGGUUUAAAGGGUGCGUAGGCGGAUAAAUAAGUCAGUGGUGAAAUCAACGGGCUCAACCUGUUAACUGCCAUUGAUACUGUGUAUCUUGAAUAUGAGAGAGGUAGGCGGAAUGUUGCAUGUAGCGGUGAAAUGCUUAGAUAUGCUACGGAACACCGAUUGCGAAGGCAGCUUACUAUUUCGUAAUUGACGCUGAGGCACGAAAGCGUGGGUAGCGAACAGGAUUAGAAACCCCGGUAGUCC
rnacentral:rRNA from 1 species